rnacentral:ribozyme from 1 species
UGUCCAGUAACUCCUAUCCCUACCUCCCCGUGGUGCCGCCUGGGUACGAGUAACCGUAGGGAAGA